UUGAACGCUGGCGGAAUGCUUUACACAUGCAAGUCGAGCGGCAGCGCGGGGCAACCUGGCGGCGAGCGGCGAACGGGUGAGUAAUGCAUCGGAACAUGUCCAAUCGUGGGGGAUAGCCCGGCGAAAGCCGGAUUAAUACCGCAUACGCCCGAGAGGGGAAAGCGGGGGACCGCAAGGCCUCGCGCGAUUGGGUUGGCCGAUGUCCGAUUAGCUUGUUGGUGAGGUAAAGGCUUACCAAGGCGAUGAUCGGUAGCUGGUCUGAGAGGAUGAUCAGCCACACUGGGACUGAGACACGGCCCAGACUCCUACGGGAGGCAGCAGUGGGGAAUUUUGGACAAUGGGGGAAACCCUGAUCCAGCCAUUCCGCGUGAGUGAAGAAGGCCUUCGGGUUGUAAAGCUCUUUUGUCCGGAGCGAAACGGUUACGGUGAAUAUCCGUGACUACUGACGGUACCGGAAGAAUAAGCACCGGCUAACUACGU
rnacentral:rRNA from 1 species